UACGGGGGGGGCAAGCGUUGUUCGGAAUUACUGGGCGUAAAGGGCUCGUAGGCGGCCAACUAAGUCGGACGUGAAAUCCCUCGGCUUAACCGGGGAACUGCGUCCGAUACUGGAUGGCUUGAGUUCGGGAGAGGGAUGCGGAAUUCCAGGUGUAGCGGUGAAAUGCGUAGAUAUCUGGAGGAACACCGGUGGCGAAGGCGGCAUCCUGGACCGACACUGACGCUGAGGAGCGAAAGCCAGGGAGCAAACGGG
rnacentral:rRNA from 1 species